GUGCUCAUUUUGGCAGCACAUAGAGUAAAAUUAGGAAGAUCUAGAGAAGAUUAGCUAUGACUUCUGUACGAGGAUGAUAUGAAAACACGUGAAGGGUUCCAUAUUUAU